CAGCAGGCGCGUAAAUUACCCAAUCCUGACAUAGGGAGGUAGUGACAAUAAAUAACAAUGCUAGGCUUUUAAAGUCCGGCAAUUGGAAUGAGAACAAUUUAAAUCCCUUAUCGAGGAACCAUUGGAGGGCAAGUCUGGUGCCAGCAGCCGCGGUAAUUCCAGCUCCAAUAGCGUAUAUUAAAGUUGUUGCAGUUAAAAAGCUCGUAGUUGGAUUUCUGUUACUGGAGGGGUGGUCCGCCUCACGGCGAGCACUGCUAUCCUCUGUGACAUCCUCUCAAAGUUUUAGCGGGUGCACUUAGUUGUGUGCUUGUUGAAUUUGGGAUCUUUACUUUGAAAAAAUUAGAGUGUUCAAAGCAGGCUAUUUGCUUGAAUAUAUUAGCAUGGAAUAAUGGAAUAGGACUUUGGUUCUAUUUUGUUGGUUUCUAGGACUGAAGUAAUGAUUAAUAGGGACAGUUGGGGGCAUUAGUAUUUAAUUGUCAGAGGUGAAAUUCUUGGAUUUUGGAAAGAUGAACUACUGCGAAGGCAUUUACCAAGGAUGUUUUCAUUGAUCAAGAACG
rnacentral:rRNA from 1 species